AGUGAACGUUGGCGGCGUGGAUUAGGCAUGCAAGUCGAGCGAGAACCGUAGCAAUACGGGGACAGCGGCGAAAGGGACAGUAAUGUGUAGGUACCUACCUCCGGGUUCGGGAUAGCUGCGGGAAACUGCAGGUAAUACCGAAUAACGUCUCCGGACCAAAGGUGUGAUUCCACCUGGAGAGGGGCCUGCAUCCUAUUAGCUUGUUGGCGGGGUAACGGGCCACCAAGGCGACGAUGGGUAGCGGGUGUGAGAGCACGACCCGCGUCAUUGGGACUGAGACACUGCCCAGACACCUACGGGUGGCUGCAGUCGAGGGUCUUCGGCAAUGGGCGCAAGCCUGACCGAGCGACGCCGCGUGCGGGAUGAAGGCCUUCGGGUUGUAAACCGCUGUCGUAGAGGAGGAAGUGCAGGGGGGUUCUCCCCUCUGUUUGACCUAUUCUAGGAGGAAGGACGGGCUAAGUUCGUGCCAGCCGCCGCGGUAA
rnacentral:rRNA from 1 species